rnacentral:rRNA from 1 species
GACGAACGCUGGCGGCGUGCUUAACACAUGCAAGUCGAACGGAAAGGCCCUGCUUUUGUGGGGUGCUCGAGUGGCGAACGGGUGAGUAACACGUGAGUAACCUGCCCUUGACUUUGGGAUAACUUCAGGAAACUGGGGCUAAUACCGGAUAGGAGAUACUGCUGCAUGGUGGGGGUUGGAAAGUUUCGGCGGUUGGGGAUGGACUCGCGGCGUAUCAGCUUGUUGGUGGGGUAGUGGCUUACCAAGGAUUUGACGGGUAGCCAGCCUGGGAGGGUGACCGGCCACAUAGGGACUGAGAUACGGCCGAGACUGAUACGGGCGGCAGGAGGGGGGAAUAUAGCACGAAGGGCGGAGGCCGGAUGGAGCAACGCCGCGUGCGGGAUGGCGGCCUUCGGGUUGUAAACAGCUUUCGCCUGUGACGAAGCGUGGGUACGGGUAAUGAGUAAAGAGGCACCGGCAAACUACGU